rnacentral:rRNA from 1 species
AGAGUUUGAUCCUGGCUCAGAUUGAACGCUGGCGGCAGGCUUAACACAUGCAAGUCGAGCGGAGAUGAGGUGCUUGCACCUUAUCUUAGCGGCGGACGGGUGAGUAAUGCUUAGGAAUCUGCCUAUUAGUGGGGGACAACAUUCCGAAAGGGAUGCUAAUACCGCAUACGUCCUACGGGAGAAAGCAGGGGAUCUUCGGACCUUGCGCUAAUAGAUGAGCCUAAGUCGGAUUAGCUAGUUGGUGGGGUAAAGGCCUACCAAGGCGACGAUCUGUAGCGGGUCUGAGAGGAUGAUCCGCCACACUGGGACUGAGACACGGCCCAGACUCCUACGGGAGGCAGCAGUGGGGAAUAUUGGACAAUGGGGGGAACCCUGAUCCAGCCAUGCCGCGUGUGUGAAGAAGGCCUUAUGGUUGUAAAGCACUUUAAGCGAGGAGGAGGCUACUGAGACUAAUACUCUUGGAUAGUGGACGUUACUCGCAGAAUAAGCACCGGCUAACUCUGUGCCAGCCGCCGCGGUAAUAC